rnacentral:tRNA from 1 species
ACCUCCAUAGUUCAGCGGUUAGAAUUCGGGAUUCCAAAUCCCGCGACCUAGGUUCGAUUCCUAGUGGGGGUGCCA